rnacentral:rRNA from 1 species
CGCAAGCCUGACGGAGCAACGCCGCGUGAGGGAUGAAGGCCUCUGGGCUGUAAACCUCUUUUAUCAAGGAAGAAGAUCUGACGGUACUUGAUGAAUAAGCCACGGCUAAUUCCGUGCCAGCAGCCGCGGUAAUACGGGAGUGGCAAGCGUUAUCCGGAAUUAUUGGGCGUAAAGCGUCCGCAGGCGGUUUUACAAGUCUGUCGUUAAAGCGUGGAGCUCAACUCCAUUUCAGCGAUGGAAACUGUAAGACUCGAGUGUGGUAGGGGCAGAGGGAAUUCCCGGUGUAGCGGUGAAAUGCGUAGAUAUCGGGAAGAACACCAGUGGCGAAGGCGCUCUGCUGGGCCAUAACUGACGCUCAUGGACGAAAGCCAGGGGAGCGAAAG